GGCUCGGUAGCUUAGUUGGUAAAGCACUCGUUUAACAUACAGGAGUCGUGGGUUCGAAUCCCACCUGAACAC
rnacentral:tRNA from 1 species